GGGUUAGCUCAGUGGUUAGAGCUUAGGUCUUAGGUCCUAGGUCCUGGGAUCGAGUCUCGCCAGAGAAUUUCG
rnacentral:tRNA from 1 species